rnacentral:rRNA from 1 species
CCUACGGGGGGCAGCAGUAGGGAAUGUUGCGCAAUGGGGGAAACCCUGACGCAGCAACGCCGCGUGAUAGAUGAAGGCCUUCGGGGUGUAAAGAUCUGUCAGUGGGGACGAAACCUGACGGUACCCACAGAGGAAGCACCGGCUAACUCCGUGCCAGCAGCCGCGGUAAUAUGGGGGGUGCAAGCGUUGUCCGGAAUCAUGGGGCGUAAAGAGUUCGUAGGUGGCGCGGUAAGUCCGGUGUUAAAGGUGGAAGCUCAACUUCCGUAGGGCACUGGAUACUGGCGAGCUUGAAGGCGGUAGAGGUAAAGGGAAUUCCUGGUGUAGCGGUGAAAUGCGUAGAUAUCAGGAGGAACAUCGGUGGCGUAGGCGCUUUACUGGGCCGUAAUUGACGCUGAGGAACGAAAGCCGGGGUAGCAAAUGGGAUUAGAUACCCUAGUAGUC